AAAACAGCAGAAAUCCAAUCAGGAAUCUCAGUCAGGACACAAACCACUUCAGACUGGAAAUGAACACCUUUAUGCCGCUGUGGAUCAGGCAGAUACGAGUGGAACAGAUGAAGCUGCAGCUGGAAGCAGUGCCACUUACGCACAGGUCAUGAAGAAAAAGAAGGCAAAGAAGAACAAUGGUGCUGAUGCUGAACUCGGCAUGAAUGAUGUGACUUACGCUGAGAUUCAACUAAAACCCAUGAAAAAAGAGAAGAAAGCACAAGAAAAGACCAGUGUGGGUGAUGAUACUGUUUACUCAGAACUGCAUCAGAACAUGAAGUGAUCCAUGUGUCUGUCUACACUGAUGAAGCUACAGAGAUCAAACUGAUAGAUGGAAAACUCUGAGUUUGUGUUUGUUGUCUGUUUUUUUUUCCUUAAAAUGCUCUGCUGUUAAACCAAACUGCUUUGAUCUAAACCUAAUGAUACCUGGUGGCUUUUUCUGAGAACUUGCUUGCAU